UUUAAAAAAACAAAAACACUUUCAAUCCAUACAAUUCAUUCCCAAAAUAAAACCCGAUUCACAUUCUUGAAGAAAAAACUAUAUCAUCACUAUAACUGAAAAGGGUGGAUUCCAAAAUCCUUCAAAUUCUUCAAACUUUUUGAUUAAUUUGACUUUAAAAUUUAAAUGCUUUGUGGCUUUUCAAGAAUGAGGAUCCAUUGUUGUAUUGAUGGGAAAUUGUUCAGUUCUUUGCCCCCUUUAAGUCCUAUUUCACUCCCAUCUCCAAAGGAGAUACAUCUUUGGUAUGUGAUACCCAAUGAGGUAAAGGGUGAAUCCCUUAUGAACAAAUAUAUGGAGAUUCUAUCCCCAUGUGAGAUUGAAAAAGUUUUGAGUUUUCGAAGAGAUGAGCUGAGGAAAAGUGCUCUGCUUGCUCGUGCACUCGUCAGAACUACCAUUGCUAGAUAUCAGAUAAAUUCUUCAGUGACACCCAAAUCCAUCAAGUUUAGGAAUAACGUUCACGGUAAACCAGAGGUAGAUUGGUCUUGCAGUUACAAUUGGGAGCCUCCCGCGUUGCAUUUUAACAUCACACAUACAUCAUCUCUGAUAGCCUGUGGUGUGACAGUAAAUUCUCCUAUCGGUGUGGACGUGGAGGAAAAAGAAAGGACAACGAAGCACAACAUAUUGACGUUAGCUAGAAGAUACUUCUCCAAACAUGAGCUUGAAGUGUUAACUGCUAUUGGAGAUCCCUAUAUCCAGCAGCAGGAGUUUAUAAAGUUAUGGACGCUGAAGUAUCCAUCAAUGCACGCCAAACAUCAACCCCAAUGUCCACUAGUGGAUGCUAUGCACUGUUGCCAAUGCCAGCUUUGCAAGGCCAAAGAAAGCACUGCCAGCCACGAGAACUCAAGGAGGCAUAUGUUAAAGCACUUGGGAAGGGUUUCUCAUGUGCACCUUUCAAGACGUUUACCAUUCGUCUUGGGAGCUCUACUGGAGAACAGUUUCAUCCGUCUCAGAAUUCAAGUGCUGAGGCGAGUGAAAUAGUAGUGGAUUCUCUUGACAACACAGAGAACCUUACAAGUAAUUGGCAAUUUAUGCUCCUGGAGUUUGCUAGUUCUCAUUAUGUUGCCAUUUGCACCGAAAAGGAUGUCAAUACAAAAGGUGAUUGCGAUAAUAAUCCAUUGAAAUUAACAGUUUGGAAGACAAUUCCAUUUGUCGAAGAUAGUUGUGUCUCUGGAACAGACACAGUUCUUAAAGUUUGUGGCUUGAGAUAAUGAUUAUUACAUCCGCGAUGAUACUUAAUCUGAGAAUCUAUCAUUAUACAUUAGAAUCCUUGGAUUCAGAGUAGCAACUUAUAUUGCAUCCAUCAAUUUUAUGCUGGGAAAACAGAUUAUACAAGUGAAUGAAUUCUCAUUAUUUUGCAUUCUUGUCUGUAAGAUGGCUAGUUUUCUUCAUGAUUGUAAACAUUGCUUCUGUCACAUAUCUUUAUUUUUUUUCCACGA